rnacentral:lncRNA from 1 species
GACGGCAGUGACGAAUGAUAAGUGGAAGAUAGUGGUGACUGCGAUGGCGUCAGAUGACGGAGGCGACAACGGUGUCGGUGUAGGUAGGAGUCGGAGUCGGAGUCGGAGUCGGAGUCGGAGUCGCAGUCCUUGACAACGUCGAGGGCGGGGACCUCGUCGGCGGAGGGUUUUGAGAGGAGAGAGGAACUAGCAAAGUAUAAGUUGCAAGCAAAGAGAGGGAUCUGCAAAACGACAGCCCCUU